rnacentral:rRNA from 1 species
GACGAACGCUGGCGGCGUGCUUAACACAUGCAAGUCGAACGGAAAUGCCUGCUUUCCCUUGUGGAUUGCGGGUACUCGAGUCGCGAACUGGUGUGUAACACGUGUGUGAUCUGCCCCCAACUUGGGUAUAAGCCUGGGAAACUGGGUCUAAUUCCCGCUAGGACCGCAGGGUGGUGCCUGUGGUGGCAACCGCUUUUCUAGUGGUUGGGGAUGAGCUGGCGGCCUAUCAGCUUGUGGGUGGGGUAAUGGCCGACCAAGGCGUAGACGGGUAGCCGGCCUGGGAGGGUGGACGGCCAAAUGGCGACAGAGAUACGGCCCAGACACCUACGGGAGGCAGGAGUGGCGAAGAGUGCACAAUGGGCGGAAGCCUGGUGCAGCGACGCCGCGUGGGGAAUGACGGCCUUCGGGUUGUCAACUCCUUUCGACCGCGAGGAAGCCACCUGGUUGGGAGGGUGGUGACGGUAGUGGUAGAAGAGGCACCGGCUUACUACGUG